rnacentral:tRNA from 1 species
UGGGGUGUGGCUCAGCAGUAGAGUGCUUGCCUCCCACAUGGGAGGCACUGGGUUCUAUCCUCAGCACCACAU